UAUUUAUAGGUACAGCACUGGGGAGGACAGAGGUCAAAACCCCUGCCCGAGACCUAUAACUGACGUGGGAUAAGCAGUCGGGCAGUUACUUCAGGCGAGCUGGAAUUCUUGUACCCCUGCAAUGCAACGCUGUCUCUUUAACUGGCGAUUUGAUAUGCCCACCUUCCCAGGAUGCACCUGUCACUUCCAGGACCAGGGCGUGUGCUCACAGCCUCCCCACCCCUGCCACGUUUGCAUAUCCAACUGGGGCACCAUACCCUAGCCUUACAAAAAGAGGUGGAAGGUGGGAGAGAGCUCUCUCCGCGCUGGGCCUUGGUCAGGGUGCCUAUCUCAUUGGUUAGGGGUACAGCCCAUUUCUGCCGUUCCAUUGCAGAACGCACUGGGACGUGCCACUCUCUGCUGUCUUGCGCUGCUGAGCCAGGUGGACCCUCCCAAUUAUAGACACCAUUUUCUGGGUAUUUUUUUUCUCUCUAGUUUAUGGGCAGUUAUGUUGGGGAUCACUUAUGUUGGGGAUCUCUCAGUGUGGGCCCCCCACACUUGUGUGUGAAUGUCUGUUUAUACCAGUCUCCACUUAGUACUUCUGUCACCGCAGGAGGCAAGAACCUGGAUGGGAAAUCAGUGUAUUCACUGCCCACUUCACAACCAUCGGCCAAGGCCUCUGGGGAACAGCCUCCUGGAUCAAGGCAGGCAUCCCUCUGACUUCUACGGUCCUUGCUGCCCCAAGACAGCACCAGCGUGACCCUGGAUGAGAAGCCGGACAUCUAGGGUGUGGGUCAGCUGCCUUCCUGUUGUGUGGGGUGUCCAGGGUGGCUGAUGUCGGCUUCUUUCCACUGUGACCAGGCUCGACUGACCUGCGGCCACGGCGCCUGGUCCCUCCCAGCUCCAGCCUUUCACUUGGCCUGUGGGGUCUGGUGCCAGAGGGGGAUGUGGAGGGCUGGCCGGGGCCCACUGGGAGCAGCUCAGUCUCAUGCUUCCUCCAGCAAGGCCACUGUGCCCUCUCCUCCUCCUCCUCUUCCUGCUUCGGCCACGACCCGGGUGAAGUCUAAGGCCAGCUAAUGCCUUUCCAGCAACCCCCCCCAGACCUGAGCUCUGAGCAGGAAGCUGGAACUGCAUGGAGUGUGCAGCCGGAGCCCCCCUCUGAGGGCUGACCCUGGAGUCAGGGCUGCUCCCCACCCUUUCCUAUCAGCCUGGCCAGCUGGAGGCGGGCAGCCUGCCAAAAUGACGUAUAUUCAUGACAGGGCUUGGGGGAUGAGUGACGCUUAGGGUGUUUCUCAGAGUGGGAGGAGGGUGAGACAGGCGCCGUGUGUGCAGAGACUGGGCUCGUCCCAGGUCUCCCAACAAAGCCCCAGAGAUCAGGAGUUGCCCCAGACACAAGGAAGCAAUCCCAGCGCCCACGCCUGACCCUGGCUGUGGCACUGGGGCUGCAGAGACAAAAGCACAGCCAGAUUGGGCCCUGAGCCAGCCAGGGGCCCAGGAAAAACAAAAGGAUCCUUCCUGGGAGGGCAGGGGCGGAACCCAACACAGAGACAGCUGCAGAGGCAGCACGGGCCCCAGGGAGAGGACACUUUCUGUGUUUGUCCACUGAGGAGGUCCGGGGAGGAAGUGAAGGUGGCAGGGAUGGGCCCUCCCACCCGGGGAUGGGCCCUCCCACCCCCCCAUCACCUGUCCCAGUGACACUGCGGGUACAAGGACAGUGAGGGGAGUGUGGGUGAGAGAUGAGGAUUCCAGACAGCCACCUGUGGCGACGUCAAUUAUAGAUGAGGGGGUGACUCAGGACUUAUUUAGGCAUAAGAGGUGGGGUGCGGGUUCCUGGUCUGAGUGUGAGUGGCUCUCGGGGGUACUCUGAGGCAGAAGCGAGGCUGUAGUAAGCUCUCUAUCGUUAGCAGAUGCUAGCUGAGAAGUCUCCUGGCUGACAGGCUCUGGGCUGUGCACUGAGCACCUGGGAGUGAGUGUGAAAGACUCUGUGUCUUCUGGGGUUUUGUCGUGGUCGUUUUUGAUGUGGGCCUGGUACCCCCGUUUCCAACCCCAGUUCUUGCCCCCCACAGAGUCUACGAUCUCUCAGCAGAGGCAAAUACAGGGUGCAAAGUACGGGCGGGCUUUCUUGAAAAGGUUAGAGAGUGAACACACAUUUACAGGUGAGUGUGGGCUGCCUCGUGUGAAUACCCAACACACGCGGGUCCCAGGGUUGUUGACAGAGAAAGAGGGAGGAAGGGGGGAAGGAGGGAGGAAAGGAGGGAAAGCCCGGUCAUCCUUAGGGACAAAAAAUAGGGCUGCCCUCCAUUCUCAGUCUCUUUCAUGAAGUGAGAGAUAUUGCCUUAGUUGAGUAAACAAACGGGGGAGGACUUAGCGUGGGAGAAGCCAUCUAAGACUCCUGUGGCACCUCUGCCUGCAGUCUAACGUGCACGCGGUCAUCGUGACGUUUCCUCUCCUGGUCCUGAUGAGACCCGGUGCGCCUGGGAUGGUGGGUGUUUAUACUGACAGGCGAAGUGAUGGGAGUGCAGGGUUGGCAAGAAUUCAGCUCCUCGAGGUCUAACUCCCUGCCCAUUUGCAUCAUAUCAUUCUGACUUUUUUUUAAAAAGACACAUCUUUAUUUGGAAGGUAGAGUUACAGAGGGAGAGACAGAGAGAGAGAGAGAGAGCGCACGCUCUUCCAUCUACUAGUUCACUCCCCAAAUGGCCACAAUAGUUGGGGCUAGGCCAGGCUGAAGCCAGGAGCCAGGAGCUUCUUCUGGGUCUCCCACAUGGGUGCAGGGGCCCAAGCAGUUGGGGCCAUCCUCUGCUGCCUUCCAAGGUCAUCAGCAGGGAGCUGGGUCAGAAGUGGAGCAGCUGGGACUUGAACCGGUACCCAUAGGUGUCGCAGGCAAUGGCUUUACCCUCUGGGCCAUAGCGCUGGCCCCGCAUUCCUGUAUUCUGACCCAAAGAAUCCAAUAAGGAAAAGGACCUCUUAUAAUAGCAAUAAAAACAAAGAUACCUAGAAAUAAACCAAAGAAGAUAUUUUGAAAAUUGUAACACUGAAAUCAUCAUUUUUUCGCAGACAAGGAAGCUUCAUACUGCUUCAAACCUCCAGACUCCCCAUUGCUAUUUUGGAACCAUAGCCUGCUUUGCAUGCAUUCUGUAAUCUCUAAGACAUACUUUUCAGAGCCAAGUGGAAAAGAUUAAGCUUUUGUAGAACUAAAGAAGACCAGAUAGGUAAUUAUUUGAACUCAGAAUGAAGAAUUUUUUAAAAAAGAUUUUAUUUAUUUAUUUGAGAGGCAUAGUUGCAAAGAGAGAGACAAAGAGAGGUCUUCCAUCUGCUAGUUCACUCUCCAAGCGGCCACAACAGCUGGAGCUGGACCAGGCUGAAGCCAGGAGCCAGGAGCUUCUUCGGGGUCUCCCAUGUGGGUACAGGGCCCCAAGGACUUGGGCCAUCUUCCGUUGCCUUCCUAGUCCAAUAGCAGUAGCUGGAUCAGAAGUGGGGCAUCGGAGCUGGCACUGUGGCACAGUAGGUAAUCUGCCUGUGGGCACCAGCAUCCCAUAUGGGCGCCAGUUCUAAUCCUGGCUGCUCCUCUUCCAAUCCAGCUCUCUGCUAUGGCCUGGGACAGCAGUAGAAGAUGGCCCAAGCCCUUGGGCCCCUGAAUCCGCAUGGGAGACCUGGAAGAAGCUCCUGGCUCCUGGGUUUGGAUCAGCCCAGCUACAGCUGUUGCAGCCAUUUGGGGAGUGAACCAACAGAUGGAAACCUUUCUGUCUCUCCCUCUUGCUGUCUGUAACUGUACCUCUCAAAUAAUUAAAAUCUUAAAAAAAUGAAGAAGAAGAAGUGGAGCAUUCAGGACAGGAACCGGUACCCACAUGGGAUGCCGAUGUCGCAGACGCAGCCUUAACCUAGUUUUUGAGGGGAUGAUUUUUCCCCAGUGCUAAACCCUAGAAGAAAUCCAUCGCGUGAUCCCUUUGGCAGGGCAUGUGGAGGACAUUUUAGCAAUAUCUGGACAGUGUCACAGCACAGUCCUCACCCUCUCUAAAUGAGGGCGACAUCAGCGUCACAUCGACACAGAGACUAAGAGUGACAUGACGUGAUGCACACACGGACCUUAACACACUCCAAAAAGCCGAGGGACAGCCAGUCCCUCGUGCAGUCUAUUCAGCCAGAAUCUGGACUGCUAGGAUUUUAUGUUGCUGACUGAAGGAAACAUGUAACUCUUGUAAACCCGGUGGGUAGGCAGCAAGGGCUGACGUCUGAUUAGGCACUCUGAGGCAUCGGCCCAAAUUCUGUGCUCUGAGGCUAAGUGGCCUGCACAACACUUGGGCAAAAGCCAGGGUUUCCCCCCAGGAAGCACCUGCCCUUCCAUUCCAGGGCCUGGUGCAAAGCCUCAGGAAAUGCCAAGAUUUGCCAAGCUGCCUGGGGCGCAUCUUCCUGGCAGCCGUGCCCGGGCAGCACCUGGUGCGCGUGGCCUGUCCUGGAACACUGUCAGAGCAGGUACCCUCAGCACGGCCGCCCAGCCAGAGCGAGAGUUCUGUGCCGCUCCAGUGGGACGCGUGGUUCUGCACAGCAUCAUCUCCGGAGGUGCCUGCCAGAGAGAAUCCACCGCACGAGCUACAGCCAGGCUCUGCACAGCCUGACCUGCCGUACGCGGUUCCUUCAACUGUGGCAGACGCCGACACGCAAGCAUGUCAGGAGCUGGGGGCUUGGGGGAGGAGGCCCACGGAGCCCUCCUGGGCUGUGUGUUAUUAAAGCUGCGUCAGAAGCACACAGAGGCACAGCUGUGCCAUUAGCACUGGCUGAAGGGAUGGCGUGGCAGUCGUCAGAACGCGGCCUCCCAUUAAGGAAGCAUCAAUUAAGGAAUAAGGCAGAUAGAGGACAGCCCUGCUUGGUAACUCCUGGGGUUGUCGUUUGAUCUCACCACCUUUUCUUGGCUCCUUUGAUUUUGAAAGGGGAUCAAAAGAAGGAUGUUUAGGUGUGGCCGUGUAGCUCGGUGGCUGAGACACUGUGAGAGUGCCUAGGUUUGAGUCUCACCUCUGCUUCUGAUCCAGCUAAUGUGCGCCCUGGAUGGCAGCAAGUGAUGGCUCAAGCACUCGGAUCUCUGCCACUGGGUGGGAGAACCAGACUGAGUGCUAGGCUCCUGGCUUUGUCCAGCCGCAAGCUGCAGGGGAGUGAAACAGCAGAUGAAAGACCUCUCCUUGUCCCCACACCUCUGUCUCUGUCUUCCAAACUGAAAAAAAAAAAAGUGGUAGGGGAGGUUGUCCAAAGGUGUUGAAUUAGGGAUCUGGAGCCAGCACUGUGGCAUAGCGGGUAAAGCCGCCACCUGUGACGUUGGCAUCCCAUAUGGGCACCGGUUCGAGUCCCAGCUGCUCCUCUUCCAAUCCAGCUCCCUGCUAAUGCACCUGAGGAGGCAGCAGAGGAUGGUCCGAGAACCUGCCAUGUACAUGGGAAACCUGGAUGGAGUUCCUGGAUCCCGGCUUCAGCCUGGCCCAGCCCCACUUUUUGUCGCAUAUGGGAUGAGAACUAGUUGAUGGAAGCUCUUUCUCUCUAUGUAUCUCUCUUUCCCCUCUUCCCCUCUCUGUGUCAUCCUGUCUUUCAAAUAAAUAAUGAAUAAAAAUCUUUUUUGCAAGAGGUAAGGAUGUCUGCUGUGAGGCUGGCCCAGUGAGUGAGCAGUGCAGCCUGGUCUGCAGGAGGUGGCAUUCCCCCUGUGGGCUACCCUCCAACUCAGUCUGAGAGCGGCCCCCAGCAUCUCCAGCUCCGCUCACCCCAGGCUGUGCUCAAACUGCUUUGUGCCAGGUCACACCUGUCCUGAGCCACACAAGACACCCCCGUGCUUGCCAUGUCAAACCAGAGAGUGACAGAGGUCACCGUGGCUCUGCAAGGGCACCGCCCACACUGAGUCCAGCCCUAGCCUGAGAGUGAGCGGAAGUGCUGCAGGCGAUGAGACAAAGAGGAGCUGACCUGCUCACGGUGGGGCGUCCCUGUGUUAGUGCCAAGCCGGUUGCAACCCAAGGCCUCACAAGCCUAGCCCCCAUCAGAAUUCCACCCACAAAAACCAAAACUUGAUUAGAUUUCAGAGAGUAUCCUCACAGUCAUUAGUCCUGCUCGAUUGACUGGCUAUUAAAGCACAAAGCACAAAAGAUGGCUCUUCUCCUGCACGUAGAGACCGGGUGCAGGGGUGCAUCUCCACCGUCUGUCCACACACUCUGCUGCGGGGCACUGUCAAUCAGAUUCCCUUCUUUCUCCCCCUGCCCACCUUCCUUUUGGGGAUGGGAGUGGUUGUUUUAUUGUUGUUGUUUUUCUUUUUUUUUUUUUUUUUUAAGACUUACAUAUUUAUUUGAAAAGCAGAGUUACAGAGAGAGAGGGGGAGAGACAGAGAGAGAUCUUCCAGCCACUGUUUCACUUCCCAAGUGGCCACAAUGGCCAGGGCUGGACCAGGCCAAAGCCAGGAGCCAAGAACUCCAUCCCCUUCUGCUGUGUGGGUGCAAGGGCUCAGGCACUUGGGCCAUCUUCCACUGCUUUCUCAGGUGCAUCGGCAGGGAGCUGGAUCAGAAGGGGACAGCCAGGACUCAAACCAGUACUGCGGGUGGUAGCUUACCCUGCCCCAUUACGAUGCCAGCUCCCGUGUGUUUGCUCUUACAGGUGCAACGUGCUGUCAGUCAUGCUCUCUUCCACACUUGGAUGAUGUGGAUCCAUCUCCUUGUCGGUUCGCUUGUUUACAUUAAUUGCUAAAUAAGCAGAAAGCAAAAAAAAAAAAAAUACCAAACAAUGUAGUGAAGGUGUUUCUGGGGCUGGUGUUGUGGUGCAGUGGGUUAGGCUUCCGCUUGCCAUGCCACCCUCACACAUGGGUGCCGGCUCAGGUCCCAGCCACUCCCCUGCCCAGCCAGCUCCCUGAUUCUGGCCUGGGAAAGCUGGGGAAGAUGGCCCAAUUGCUUGGGACCCUCCCACUAAUGUGGGAGACCCAGAUGGAGUUUCAGGCUUCUGGCUUCAGCCUGACGCAGCCUGAAGUGUUGUGGCCAUCUGGGGAGUGAAGCAGUGGAUGGAAGACCUCUGUCUCUCUUUGUCUCUGUCUCUCUCACUCUGUCACUAUGGCUUUCAAGUAAAUAAAUUUGUUUCUGAAAUUGUGUCUGCCUCACUCUCGUCUCCCUGAUCCCCCUCUCCGCAAGCAGCCUUGCUGCCAGCUGUCCUGCACAACCUUCCCGACUUCCCACGGGUGAAGUUGGACCUGCUGACGUCACUCGCGGGCCACAGCCAGAGCGCUGUGCUGGGCCUCUGCGCCGCUUCCCUCUGAAAGCCACGUGGCCUCCCUCUCCGGCUGGGCUGUGGGCUGCUCAUGCCCUGGACUCCCUGUUCCUCCACUGUCGGUUGCUACUCCCUCCUGGGGCCCUGGAUUGCUACCUCUGCUCUGCCUACCUGCCUAGAACCAGCCUGCCUCAGCAGCUGUUGAGGGGGUCGUGGGCUGGCUCUGGGGUCCAGGGAAGGAGACUCCUGCCUAGGUGUGGUUCACACGUACUCUGUUCCAGCCGAGGUUCUAUGGACUCAGCAGGACAGCAAGCCAGCUGGACGCAGAAGAGGAGUCUGGCCUCAUCCCAGUGUUGGAUCUGCAAUCUCGGAGCCGUCGCUUCCCCACUCGAGUUCUCAGAGUUAAUGGAGCUGGGCCCCAGAGCAUCUGGGACAGGUCUCUCCACAGCUGGGCCUCUGGAGCAGGGACCCUGAGAGGAAGUGCCGAUGGCUCAAGGAGUUGGGUUCCUGCCCCCGACGUGGGAGACCUGGAUGAACUUCCCUGCUCCCAGUUUGGGCCUCAGCUCAACCCCAGCCUGGUCCUAGCUGUUGCAGGCAUUUGGGGAGUGAACCAGUGUGUGGGAGCGCUCGCUCUCCCCCUCCAUCGUGUGUGUGUAUGUGUGUGUGUGUGCACGCGUGCGUGCCUGUGUCUCCCUCUCUUUGCCUCUCAAAUAAAUUUUUUGAAAUUCUGAAUUUCUAAGGUGCAAUUCUGGGCCAUUAAUUUUUCAAAUGUCUCAAACUGGGGUUUGAUUUCAACCUUUGAGGAUUCAAAUACAUGGCAAGGAAGGAGUAUGGGAAAAUAGCACCUGUGUCGGGAACCUUGGCUCUGACAUUGAAUCUAUCCUCGUAGACAGGUCAGUAUGAAACCCAAACACACUGCCUUGAAACCAGUGGGAAUUUGAGUGAUAACAUCUUGCAACUUUGUUCAGAGUUAAAACAAAGGACAGAAUUUCUGGCUUCAGGCCACAAAAACCUGACUCAGUAUUUUUAAAAUCAAUCCUCAGCCUCGUUUUCCGCUAAAAAUUUGACUUUUAAAAUACUUAGAUUUGUUUAAGGUAUUUUCCUUAAAAUAUUGGUGCUCAAAAAAUAUUAGGGGCUAGUGAUGAUACGUGUAUUUUUCCCCCCAAUAUCAGAUUAGAGACCAAAUGGCUUUGUAUGGAGAGUUCUGGAACUAAGUAAAAAAAACCUGCUAAAGAAUGUCUCAGUGAUCAGUGUGUUGAAAGAACAUUUUGUUCUAAUGGAACUAAAAUUAUACCUGGUAAGUUUUUUUUUGAACUGGCCACUGUCGUGAAAGGUAUCGCGCUCUGUGGGGUGUACCAUGUUUAUAAAGCAGUGCGAGUAACGGAAGGUGUGUCUAGAGCCGUGUUUGGCAAAGUGCAUGCUGGUGGCCACAGUUCUGCAAGAUCUUCCCCCAAAAGAGCACGAGAGUCGCGUGGGCCCAGGGUGCCCCAACAGCGGUAUUCCCGCGAGGGCUCCGCAGUGCACGUGCGCACUCAAGGCAAGUCCCGCGGCGUGGGAACGCCUAUUCUCUUGUCCCAUACACUGACCUCCGUGUGUCUGUUCCUCUGGGUCUCCGUCCUAACAGUGACGAUCCUGUUCAGGCAGACUCGCUUCUCCAGGGAAGGCCCCAGAUGCCCGGGGUGCCAGGGAGCGAAGGCACCGGGGCUGGGGGGAUCCUCUACUGAGGACUCACACGGCCCUGGUUCUAAUCCCAGCUCAGCAACUUAGAAACUUUGUGAGCGUGCUGACUAUAACACGGGUAUGAAAACAGUGACCUCAGAAGGCUUUUUGUGAAGAUUAAUCAUAGGAUGCACAACACAUCCAGCCCAGUGUCUGCUUCUUCAUGAGCUAAUGAAACGUCAGGCUCAUCUCUUCUCCUUGUUAAGCAGGAGUAGCAGGCAGGAUACUGUUUGGGAAGCUUUUUGUAUACCGUAUGCCUGUCCAAGUGCACACAGAGAACUGACAGGGUGCAGGACACCGUACCCCCAAACACGGCUCCGUGGCAUCUGGAAAGCAGCAGAAGCAGGGGGACUCCCAGGACCUUCUCCAUGCGCUUCCCCCAGAGCAGGUCAGGGACCCUUCACCCAGGGUGCCUCCCUUCCUAGCCCCAGAGGGAAGGCACAUCCGCAUCCUGAAAGACAGAGAUGCCAGGAGAACCCAGCAAACAGGCCUCUGCGCCCCUAGUUCCUUACACUGCCACACGCCUCUGGCUCAUCACACUCCCGGCUGACUCCAUGCUUCAUCCAGCCUGAGCUGGAAGACACACAGGGGUACCUGCUUCUCUAGGUGUUCAGUUGUUUUUAAAAUGUUUUUUUUCUAAAUUUAUUUAAAAUGCAGAGAGAUACAGAGAAAGAGGCAGAGCAGACAGGAAAAGAUCUCCUGUCUGUUGGUUCACUCCCCAAAUGCCCACCACAACUGUGGCUGGGCCAGGCUGAAGCCAGGAGCCAGGAACUCCAUCUGGGUCUCCCACAUGAGUGCAGACAGCAAACUACUCGAGCCUUCACCGCUGCCUCCCAGGGUGAGUGUUAGCCGAACACUGCAGCAGAAGCAGAGUAGGCGGGAAUUGAACCCAGGCCCUCCCAUGUGCGACGCACGUGUCCUGAUAUGCCAAAUGCCCAUCCUACCAGAGGCUCUGUGUCACAUGGAACUGAUGUUAAAUAAGUGUGCAUGUUUGUCUCUUGUUAGAGUGCCUCAGACACAAACCUUGCCAGGGAUGUGGGAAAACAUUACUGUUCUCCCCUACGGAACCACUGGGCAAAAGCUGUGGACAUGUAUCUGUGCAUGUAGCAUAAAAUGCUUUACGGUGAUCAAGCAGACAAAAAAGGAAAAGCUGCCUCACUAGACGCUGAGCUCCACGGCAUCAGUCCCCUCUAAAUGACUGAAAGUUCCACGGGCAGAAUGCCGAAGACGAGCUUCUCGUGAUGGUGGAAGACCCCAGCCCACCCCAGAUUUCACGAUGCUGAUUUCACACGGGUAGGGGAAGCUUGGGAUGCCGGGUUCAAGUCCUGGCUCCACUUCCAAUCCUAGCUUCCUGAUGAUGGGCACCCAAGGAGGCAGAAGAUGAUGGCUCAAGUCUUGGGUCCCUGCUGCCCAUGUGGGAGACUUGGGUUGAGUUCCUGGCUCCCAGCUUCAACCUAGCCCAGCCCUGGCUGUUUGGAUAUUUGUGGAGUGAACCAGUGGAUGGGUUUUUCCCUGUCCCUUUUUUCAAAUAAUAAUUACAUAAGUAAAGUCAUUUCACAGAGGUACCUCCUCUCCAUAUACACCACAUUUCAGGGGUGAACGCUUAUGAGAGGGCACAAGUACGGGGUCCUGAGCUUCUACCCACAAAGGCCCUGUGGGCGCCCGUUUGGGGAGGAGAGCCUCUCUUGCCCACGCUUGGUGACCAGGAGAUCCGGCCGGCAGCCCAGCCAUUAGUCCCAGAGAGUCCUCCUGCCUCCCGGGCACACUGCUCUGCCCACACUCAGCCGGACCAGGUGUCAAAGCCACACACUCCCGCCCUCCCAGCUUUGCCAGCUCCUUGCAGGCCCAGCACCUGAAAGCCCGUCCCUCUGCCAGCAGCCAGCAGCAUCAGCAGGAGG